GGUUAGGUACCGCCUAACGAGCGCAACCCUUGUCCUUAGUUACCAGCACGUUAUGGUGGGCACUCUAAGGAGACUGCCGGUGACAAACCGGAGGAAGGUGGGGAUGACGUCAAGUCAUCAUGGCCCUUACGGCCUGGGCUACACACGUGCUACAAUGGUCGGUACAAAGGGUUGCCAAGCCGCGAGGUGGAGCUAAUCCCAUAAAACCGAUCGUAGUCCGGAUCGCAGUCUGCAACUCGACUGCGUGAAGUCGGAAUCGCUAGUAAUCGUGAAUCAGAAUGUCACGGUGAAUACGUUCCCGGGCCUU
rnacentral:rRNA from 1 species